rnacentral:rRNA from 1 species
AUGGUCAACGGCCAGCAGACGGGCAGCAAAAAUGUUCUCGUGCUGCACACCAACGAGAACUUCGACCAGCAGAGGAUCAACUGGGUGAUGCACCAGUACCACCUCGGGGACCUGGAGCAAGAGAAGGAGCGGGAGCUGGUCCUCUGCAAGAUUUUCUACCAGACGAACACUAGGGCCAGGAGUAAAAAGAUUAUAAGUCGAGCAAGUUUCAACUGGGCUGUAGACUGCCCAGGCUUGGUUUUGUUUUUAACAGGCCCAGCCCAUGACGACAACGGGGCAUAA